rnacentral:lncRNA from 1 species
AAUAACAGAUUUAUUAAUAGCAGAUCUAAAGGAGCAAGAACGAAUAAAUACUUCUUCCCGGGGGUUUGAAGAAGUAGAACUUACGGUGAAACUUCUACGAGGUCGAGAGUUCAGGAAUUUAAGGUCAACUGAACCAUCGGAGUUUUGGAUGAUUCGUUCUAUUUGGCGAUUCUCUGUAUGAGAGGAUACAGGUUGGGUAAUGGCUUCAAAGUGCCAAUC